rnacentral:rRNA from 1 species
CCUACGGGAGGCAGCAGUGAGGAAUAUUGGUCAAUGGACGAGAGUCUGAACCAGCCAAGUAGCGUGAAGGAUGACUGCCCUAUGGGUUGUAAACUUCUUUUAUAUGGGAAUAAAACAGGGUAUGCAUACCCUCUUGUAUGUACCAUAUGAAUAAGGAUCGGCUAACUCCGUGCCAGCAGCCGCGGUAAUACGGAGGAUCCGAGCGUUAUCCGGAUUUAUUGGGUUUAAAGGGAGCGUAGGUGGAUUGUUAAGGCAGUUGUGAAAGUUUGCGGCUCAACCGUAAAAUUGAAAGUGAAACUGGCAGUUUUGAGUACAGUAGAGGUGGGGGGAAUUCGGGGUGUAGCGGGGAAAUGCUUAGAUAAC